rnacentral:rRNA from 1 species
GACGAACGCUGGCGGCGUGCCUAAUACAUGCAAGUCGAGCGCAGCGGGGACGGGGGAGUAAGACGUGGAAAACCUCAUAUAAGACCGGGACAACUUGGGGAAACCGGUGCUAAACCUGCUAUUCAUAUGUGGAUGCGGGUUGCAUUCGCUAGUUGGUAAGGUAACGGCGUACCAAGGCAACGAUGCAUAGCCGACCUGAGAGGGUGAUGGGCCACACUGGAACUGAGACACGGUCCAGACUCCUACGGGAGGCAGCAGUAGGGAAUCUUCGGCAAUGGGCGAAAGCCUGACGGAGCAACGCCGCGUGAGUGAUGAAGGUCUUCGGAUCGUAAAACUCUGUUAUUAGGGAAGCGGUACCUAAUCAGAAAGCCACGGCUAACUACGUGCCAGCAGCCGCGGUAAUUC